rnacentral:rRNA from 1 species
AUUGAACGCUGGCGGAAUGCUUUACACAUGCAAGUCGAACGGCAGCACGGGUGCUUGCACCUGGUGGCGAGUGGCGAACGGGUGAGUAAUGUAUCGGAACGUAUCCAAUAAUGGGGGAUAACUAAUCGAAAGGUUGGCUAAUACCGCAUACGCCCUACGGGGGAAAGCAGGGGAUCUUCGGACCUUGCGUUAAUGGAGCGGCCGAUAUCUGAUUAGCUAGUUGGUGAGGUAAAGGCUCACCAAGGCGACGAUCAGUAGCUGGUCUGAGAGGACGACCAGCCACACUGGAACUGAGACACGGUCCAGACUCCUAAGGGAGGCAGCAGUGGGGAAUUUUGGACAAUGGGCGCAAGCCUGAUCCAGCCAUGCCGCGUGAGUGAAGAAGGCCUUCGGGUUGUAAAGCUCUUUCGCAAGGAAAGAAAACUUAUCCGCUAAUACCGGGUGAGGAUGACGGUACCUUGAUAAGAAGCACCGGCUAACUACGUGCCAGCCGCCGCUGUAAGAC